UACAGAGGUCCCAAGCGUUGUUCGGAUUCACUGGGCGUAAAGGGUGCGUAGGUGGUCGGGUAAGUCUGAUGUGAAAUCCCCGGGCUUAACCUGGGAAUGGCAUUUGGGACUGCAAGGCUUGAGUGCGGCAGAGGAGACUGGAAUUCCCGGUGUAGCAGUGAAAUGCGUAGAUAUCGGGAGGAAUACCGAUGGCGAAGGCAGGUCUCUGGGCUGACACUGACGCUCAUGCACGAAAGCGUGGGGAGCAAACAGG
rnacentral:rRNA from 1 species